UCGGAACACAGGUGCUGCAUGGCUGUCGUCAGCUCGUGUCGUGAGAUGUUGGGUUAAGUCCCGCAACGAGCGCAACCCUAUCAUUAGUUGCUACGCAAGGGCACUCUAAUGAGACUGCCGGUGACAAACCGGGAGAAGUGGGGAUGACGUCAAGUCCUCAUGGCCCUUAUGGGUAGGGCUUCACACGUCAUACAAUGGUCGGUACAGAGGGUUGCCAAGCCGCGAGGCGGAGCCAAUCCCACAAAGCCGAUCGUAGUCCGGAUUGUUCUCUGCAACUCGAGAGCAUGAAGUCGGAAUCGCUAGUAAUCGCAGGUCAGCAUACUGCGGUGAAUACGUUCCCGGGUCUU
rnacentral:rRNA from 1 species